CCUACGGGAGGCAGCAGUGAGGAAUAUUGGUCAAUGGGCGAGAGCCUGAACCAGCAAAGUCGCGUGAGGGAGUACUGCCCUCUGGGUUGUAAACCUCUUUUGUCGGGGCGCAAAAGCCGGACGUGUCCGGCUGUGAGAGUACCCGAAGAAAAAGCAUCGGCUAACACCGUGCAAGCAGCCGCGGUAAUACGGAGGUAGCGAGCGUUAUCCGGAUUUAUUGGUGUAAAAGGGGGCGCAGGCGGAUUUUUAAGUCGGCGGUAAAAUCGUGGGGCGCAACCACAUCCAGCCUUUGAAACUGGGGAUCUAGAGUGUGCGAGAGGUAGGCGGAAUGCGUGGUGUAGCGGUGAAAUGCAUAGAUAUCACGCAGAACCCCGAUUGCGAAGGCAGCAUACCGGUGCACAACUGACGCUCAGGCACGAAAGCGUGGGUAUCGAACAGGAUUAGAUACCCCAGUAGUC
rnacentral:rRNA from 1 species